rnacentral:rRNA from 1 species
CAGUCGCCACGGUAAUACGAAGGGGGCUAGCGUUGUUCGGAAUUACUGGGCGUAAAGGGCGCGUAGGCGGCCAUUCAAGUUAGAUGUGAAAGCCCUGGGCUCAACCUAGGAAUUGCAUUUGAUACUGUUUGGCUUGAGUUCGGGAGAGGUGAGUGGAAUUCCCAUUGUAGAGGUGAAAUUCGUAGAUAUUGGGAAGAACACCAGUGGCGAAGGCGGCUCACUGGACCGACACUGACGCUGAGGCGCGAAAGCGUGGGGAGCAAACAGGAUUAGAUACCCCCGUAGUCCCUGUCUCUUAUAC